UACGUAGGUGACAAGCGUUGUCCGGAUUUACUGGGCGUAAAGAGCGCGCAGGCGGUCGAUCAAGUCGAGUGUGAAAGCCCCCGGCUCAACUGGGGAGGGUCAUUCGAUACUGAUCGACUCGAAGGCAGGAGAGGGUAGUGGAAUUCCCGGUGUAGUGGUGAAAUGCGUAGAUAUUGGGAGGAACACCAGUGGCGAAGGCGGCUCACUGGACCGGAACUGACGCUGAGGCGCGAAAGCGUGGGGAGCAAACGGG
rnacentral:rRNA from 1 species